UACGGAGGGGGCAAGCGUUAUCCGGAUUUACUGGGUUUAAAGAGUGCGUAGGCGGGCAUGUAAGUCAGUGGUGAAAUACCGGAGCUUAACUUCGGAACUGCCAUUGAUACUAUAUGUCUUGAAUAUUGUGGAGGUAAGCGGAAUAUGUCAUGUAGCGGUGAAAUGCAUAGAUAUGACAUAGAACACCGAUUGCGGAGGCAGCUUGCUACACAAAUAUUGACGCUGAGGCACGAAAGCGUGGGGAUCAAACAGG
rnacentral:rRNA from 1 species